rnacentral:rRNA from 1 species
UACAGAGGUGGCGAGCGUUGUUCGGAUUUACUGGGCGUAAAGGGUGCGUAGGCGGUCUUUCAAGCCAGAAGUGAAAGGCUACGGCUCAACCGUAGUAAGCUUUUGGAACUGUAAGACUUGAGUGCAGGAGAGGAGAGUGGAAUUCCUAGUGUAGCGGUGAAAUGCGUAGAUAUUAGGAGGAACACCAGUAGCGAAGGCGGCUCUCUGGACUGUAACUGACGCUGAGGCACGAAAGCGUGGGGAGCAAACAGGAUUAGAUACCCGCGUAGU